UACAGAAACACGCGUGUCAAUUAGGCAAGGAAAAGGAGGAAAAGAUCGAGAUAACGAUGACACUUAAGAAAAGUUACAGACGCAAAAUCCGUAAAUUCACCUUCAGGAAUUUGAAGAUUUAUGUACGUGUACGUCCUCUGACAUGGAACAAUGAUCUUAUAAUAACUACCAGUUCAAGUGGAAGGAUAGUGGAAAUAAAGAA